rnacentral:lncRNA from 1 species
ACUCUAGGGCUGGUCCCUCGAGGGACUGUCAUGGGCUCGCUUUUGGGAAAGGUGCUGUGUUUACAGUUGAGCCUGGAUGAUCAUGUUGUUGCCGUGUGUGCUGGAAACAAAAUAUUCAUGCUGGAUAUUGAGAUGGAGUGCUGUAAAAUUCAAGAACAGUGCCCAGCACUUCGUGCCUGGAGUUCCCUGGGGAUAUUCUCAGGGCGAUGACUGACCAUUAGGAACCCCCGAUGCUCUCACUACUCCAUUCCUCAGUCAUGCUGUUCAAGCCUGAUUUCCAUAUAAACGGGAAGCCCUGUGUG